GCUUAUUUCAUAGCCGUGCUCGAAUGUUGUCUCAGGCUAUCUUCGUUCAGACGUGUAUUGGGUAGUCGGCAAAGGGGAGAGCUGAUGAAACUGUAGCUCUGGAAAAACCCACAGGUUCUCUGUGGAAUCCCAGCCCUUUCCGCCCUAGAUCGAAUUCUAUGGCAUCAUAGUACGGGAUCUGCGCUUUUCGUUCCUCGCAACCCCGCCUCCAAUGGCCAUUACAUUCUUAUUCUCUUUCUCAACUGUGGAUCUUUGUUUCUUACUGGAUUUUUUAUUUGGAUCUAAAUUCAUAUUGUCAUAUUUGUUUUAAGUUGAUUGAUUCAAAAACUUUUGUUGAUUUCUAUUUCGUCCAUUAAAUCUUUUCGAUGCUUUAACUUAUUUCUUUUCUCUAAAAAUGGUUUUUUUGAAUGAUUGAAUCGAUUCUACAUUGGUUGCAUCUAGGUCAAUCAAAAUCAAAAUUCCAUUUUUGAAGAGUUAGGAAAUGAAAGAAAUCGAAAGCCUUGGCUCUUUCAAAUUAUGCUUUUUUUUUGGUUAGGUGGAACCAUUUUUUCGGCUUCAACAUUUCUUUUUUUUUUCUCGUCCAACUUCACAUCGGACGGCGAAAUUCUUUCCUAAACGCUACGCAGAUUUGUCUCUCUCAUAUUCGGCAUACGCCGUUCUAGGGUUUCCUUACCCUCCUGUUCACUGUUGCCGCCAUUGACGUUGGUGCUGCUUACUGGCCUUUUGUUCUAAUGAGGCAAUCCCGCUGGAUUCCUCGGCGCGGAUGAUGAAUCACGGAGAGUGAAGGGAGCGAGGGCCAGAAAUUCUUCUUCGGGUCAAAGGCCCGCAAUCAUCAGAUCUUGCCGCCUCCGCUCUCCUCAACAGGGCGUCUCCGGAUUACCACCAUGUUUGUUCACUUCUAUGUCGUUUUGAUCCUUCUUACGUAAGACGCUCAUCCUCUAAAUUCUUGUCCAGUGAAAUCAGUUUCUUUGGACAGAUUGAGUUUGCAUUUGAUCAUUCCUCGAAUGCUAAUUUGAUAUCAAAUUCUCUCUUAUAUCUUCCUCUGUCCGUAGAUGGUGAUCAAUUGCAAGUUUGCAGUUUUGUUGGAUUUCUAUCUGCUUACAUGUUCUCUAUAAUUUUUUCUUCACCCUGAUGGAAAAAUGUGACAGUGCGAUUCCCAGGUCUUUUUUACUUGAUUUAACUAUUUAGAUUUUCUGAUCCUGUUUAGUGAACAAUUAUGUGUUUUAUUCUGUGCUAUAAAGUUCCGUGUAUUAUUUUUGUUUUUUUGUUUAUUUUUUCUCUUGUUUUCUUUUGUUGAUUAACUGAAUGUCUUAUUCAUUCAAUUGAUUUCCCUAGUUUUCUUCUGCUAUGUUUUUUCCCUUGUUCCCCCCACGAAGUUGUUAUGAAGAGCUGUUAACAUGUAAGGAGAACUCUCGACAGUUCUGUUCUCCAAUGAAAUUUUCUUGUUACGCUUGGCUUCUGAGCUUAAUUUUGCUCUUCUAUUCAUGAGUCCCUUACUUGUUACAUUUGUCUCGUCCUUUUUCCUUUUCUUUUACCUGUGGUGUUCUAUUUUAUCUCCUCUAUUCAAUCAAUUUUAUAACUACCAUGUGUAAGUAAUGAUUACCGACGUGUUUUUUAUGUACUCUUUUCUUUGCAUUGCUCUUUUGAAAUAAGUUUUCACCAAUUAAAUGCGAUCCAAUUUCUGUUAGUUAUUUUGUAUUCAGGUGACUGAUAAUUACUACAGACCGGAUCUAACUAAGGCUGCUCUUGCACGGCCGAGUUCAGUUCAUUGCAGUCUUAGAGUUGCAAACUACAAAGAAAUAGGUCGAAGGGUGGUGCCUGGCCACCAAUUUAGUUCUCUCUUCUCUAUUGGUGUGUGUACUCACUCUGAAUGCCCUAUCUUACUUUAGAAAAUAUUUUCUAUAUUCUGUCUUUUUUAUUUAGAAAAGAUUUUUGUUAUUUUUAUUGGUUUCUAGUGUAUGGAUGUGGGAUCUUGAUUUUUA